rnacentral:misc_RNA from 1 species
AUUUAGAUGAUAAGGAAGAAAAAAAAAAACAGUUAGAAGUGCUCCUCCAGCUACAAAGGUGAGUACAGAGGUCCUUCCAAGGUUGUAGACCCACGUCAGGGAACCUGGCUUGCCAUUAACCCAACCAGCUUGUUCAAUUAACCUCUGGCGUCUCACAAAAAGGCAUCUCAUUUCCAAAUAUUUCAAGUCAAGCCCUUCUUGGAUCCUUAUGGCAGCAUUCUACCUUUAAUCAUGUUCCAUCUCAUUCUACUGAACCACCAACCAUCUUACGGUGGCUUCUCCAGUCCAACGAUAUCUUUGUCGAAUGCUUCAUUUGCCAAUGCGAAAAGCUCCGCAUCCUUCUCUUCAUCGCUCGAAAACUCCCGCCUCUCAAGCUUGGAAUGAGCUGCAAUAAAUAUCAACUUUUGUGCCUUGUCCAUGGCCGCUCUUGAAUGCCCAUGGGCACACACCCAUUUCAACAAAGACCAAUUGCAUUUGAAUCCGCAUGCAGUAGCAUGAAGGAAAAUAAGCCUAACUGCAACUUUGCCUAGUGAUUUGAAUUCAGUAAGAUAAGUCUCCCACACAAGCCUACUGCUUUGCGGAUUGACAAUUUUCAUCUUUCCUGUAAUGGGAUCCCUUUCCUUCAUCUGGACAGCUCUUNNNNNACACCGGAUCAAGUCCUUCUGUUCUCCAUUUCAUUAGUUCCAUUAAUGCAAUAUGAGCCUCUUCUGUGGAGACAAGCCUGGUUAUGAGCUUGUCCACAUCUUUUUCCUGCUCAGGGGUAAGGCAUUUGAAAGGAGGAAGGUACUUGCCACUAGAGUCCUUAACCAAAUAAAGUGGAUCAAGUAUGUAUGCAGCAGCCCAAGCAGGAUGAUAAUUCUUCUUAAACCGUCUUUCAAUCACUUUUUCCACUGCUCCUUCUGCAAUGUGGAACUUUGAACACCAAUCCUUCACUUUUGCUCUUAGCUCGUCCCAAAGUGGCAGGCAUUGCCCAACUAAUGGCCUCUCCGUUUCAAUCUCCUGAGCCAUUUCCUUGGUCAACUUAACCAAUGAAUGCACCGCCUCCAGUUCAUUCCAAAAACCAACAUCUCUAAUAAUCUCAGCAACUUCUCUCGCUGUUGGAUCCUCCAUGGAUACUAUCUUAUACGAUUCAUC